AGGGUUCGAUCAUGGCUCAGAACGUACGCUGGCGGCACGCCUAACACAUGCAAGUCGAACGAAGUAGCAAUACUUAGUGGCAGACGGGUGAGUAACAUGUAGGUAUCUGCCCUUUGGCCUGGAAUAACACGAGGAAACUUGUGCUAAUACCGGAUAAGUCUUUACGGAGAAAGCUUUAUGCACCAUUGGAUGAGCCUGCACUUGAUUAGUUUGUUGGUGGGGUAAUGGCCUACCAAGACUGUGAUCAAUAGCUGAUUUGAGAGGAUGAUCAGCCACAUUGGGACUGAGACACGGCCCAAACUCCUACGGGAGGCAGCAGUGGGGAAUCUUGCACAGUGGAGGAAACUCUGAUGCAGCGAUGCCGCGUGAGUGAAGAAGGCCUUUGGGUUGUAAAGCUCUUUCGUCGGGGAAGAAAAUGACUGUACCCGAAUAAGAAGGUCCGGCUAACUUCGUGCCAGCCGCCGCGGUAAUUC
rnacentral:rRNA from 1 species